rnacentral:rRNA from 1 species
UACGUAGGGUGCAAGCGUUUAAUCGGAACUACUGGGCGUAAAGCGUGCGCAGGCGGUUAUGUAAGACAGAUGUGAAAUCCCCGGGCUCAACCUGGGAACUGCAUUUGUGACUGCAUAGCUAGAGUACGGUAGAGGGGGAUGGAAUUCCGCGUGUAGCAGUGAAAUGCGUAGAUAUGCGGAGGAACACCGAUGGCGAAGGCAAUCCCCUGGACCUGUACUGACGCUCAUGCACGAAAGCGUGGGGAGCAAACAGG